rnacentral:rRNA from 1 species
GUCCACGCCGUAAACGAUGAAUGCUAGCCGUUGGGCAGCUUGCUGUUCAGUGGCGCAGCUAACGCAUUAAGCAUUCCGCCUGGGGAGUACGGCCGCAAGGUUGAAACUCAAAGGAAUUGACGGGGGCCCCGCACAAGCGGUGGAGCAUGUGGUUUAAUUCGACGCAACGCGCAGAACCUUACCAGGGUUUGACAUCCUGCGACCGCCCUCUAAUAGGGGUUUUCCCGCAAGGGACGCAGAGACAGGUGCUGCAUGGCUGUCGU